rnacentral:rRNA from 1 species
CCUACGGGUGGCAGCAGUGGGGAAUAUUGCACAAUGGGGGAAACCCUGAUGCAGCGACGCCGCGUGAGUGAAGAAGUAAUUCGGUAUGUAAAGCUCUAUCAGCAGGGAAGAAAAUGACGGUACCUGAGUAAGAAGCCCCGGCUAACUACGUGCCAGCAGCCGCGGUAAUACGUAGGGGGCAAGCGUUAUCCGGAUUUACUGGGUGUAAAGGGAGCGUAGACGGCAGUGCAAGUCUGGAGUGAAAGGCGGGGGCUCAACCCCCGGACUGCUCUGGAAACUGUAUGGCUGGAGUGCAGGGGAGGGAAGUGGAAUUCCUAGUGUAGCGGUGAAAUGCGUAGAUAUUAGGAGGAACACCAGUGGCGAAGGCGGCUUACUGGACUGUAACUGACGUUGAGGCUCGAAAGCGUGGGGAGCAAACAGGAUUAGAUACCCGUGUAGUC